rnacentral:snRNA from 1 species
GUGCUCACUUUAGCAGCACAUAUACUAAAAUCUGAACAGUGCAAAGAAGACUAGUGUGGAACCUGUGCACAAAUGACAUGAAAAUUCAUGAAACGGUCCGUAUUAAA